GGAAUGUGGCUUCAUGGUAGAGUGCUUGCCUGGAAUGUACAAGAUCCUGGGUUUGAUCCCUAGCACCA
rnacentral:tRNA from 1 species